AGAGAGAGACAUGCGCGCAUAUCAAUAAGCGGAGGAAAAGAAACUAACAAGGAUUCCCUCAGUAACGGCGAGUGAAGCGGGAAGAGCUCAAAUUUGAAAUCUUCAAGGUUCUACCUUGACGAAUUGUAGUUUAAAGAAGUGUUUUCUGUUGGAGUUUUGGUAAAAGUUCUUUGGAAUAGGACAUCAUAGAGGGUGAGAAUCCCGUAUUUGACCAUUAUUUCCAGCUUUGUGAUACACUUUCAAAGAGUCGGAUUGUUUGGGAAUGCAGUCCAAAAUGGGUGGUAAAUUUCAUCUAAAGCUAAAUAUUGGCGAGAGACCGAUAGCGAACAAGUACCGUGAGGGAAAGAUGAAAAGAACUUUGAAAAGAGAGUUAAACAGUACGUGAAAUUGUCAAAAGGGAAGCGUUUGACACCAGUGUUGUUUUUCUGAAAAUCAAUUAAAGAACUGUUUAUGCUAAGUUGUUUAGACUUUAUCAGCUAACUGUUUAGUUUUGAGCUUUUCUUUAAUGCACUUUUCAGUUAACAAGUCAACAUCAAUUUCUUUUGCUGUAAAAAAGCUUGAGGAAGGUGGCUUGAGAUUCGUCUUAAGUGUUUAUAGCCUCUUGCCUAUGCAGUCGGAGAGAUUGAGGUCUGCAGCGUAGAUCCUUCGGGGCUAAAUGCAUUUGUGCUAAGUUAUAGCAUUUUAUAGACAACUUGUUGACUAUGAUUUGUCUUGUAGCUUACUCGCUUAUGUUAUUUUACCUACGCUUAGGAUGUUGAUGUGAUACUGCGAGC
rnacentral:rRNA from 1 species